AAACAUAAGAGUUUGAUCCUGGCUCAGGACGAACGCUGGCGGCGUGCCUAACACAUGCAAGUCGAGCGGAGAUGCCAAGGAGCAAUCCAAGGUGUCUUAGCGGCGGACGGGUGAGUAACACGUGGGUAACCUACCCCAAGGAGGGGGAUAACAGGUCGAAAGGCCUGCUAAUACCGCAUAAAGCUUAUGUAUCGCAUGAUGCAUAAGCCAAAGGAGGAAUCCGCCUUGGGAUGGGCCCGCGGCCCAUUAGCUAGUUGGUGAGGUAACGGCUCACCAAGGCGACGAUGGGUAGCCGGCCUGAGAGGGUGGUCGGCCACACUGGGACUGAGACACGGCCCAGACUCCUACGGGAGGCAGCAGUGGGGAAUAUUGCGCAA
rfam:Caloramator australicus RC3, WGS project CAKP01000000 data, contig: 46